UACAGAGGUGGCAAGCGUUGUUCGGAAUUACUGGGCGUAAAGGGCGCGUAGGCGGUUCUGUAAGUCCCGCGUGAAAUCCCCCGGCUCAACUGGGGAACUGCGCGGGAAACUGCGGGGCUUGAGUUCGGGAGAGGGAAGCGGAAUUCAUGGUGUAGCAGUGAAAUGCGUAGAGAUCAUGAGGAAGACCAGUGGCGAAGGCGGGUCUCUGGACAGUUCCUGACACUGAGACACGAAGGCCAGGGGAGCAAACGGG
rnacentral:rRNA from 1 species